AUCUUUCUAGUACUAAUUAAGUAUUAGUGACUUCCAAUCACAAGGUCUUGGUUAAAAUCCAAGGAAAGAUA
rnacentral:tRNA from 1 species